rnacentral:lncRNA from 1 species
GUCUUCGCCUCACUGUGCGUGCAGAUGUACUCACACCUGCCUGCUGCCAUUCCCGAGCAAGCUCUGCACUGGUGGCACUCCGACCCCAGAGCUAAAUCUUCUUUAGGAGAUUAUCCUGGUGUUCGCUGUCAUUACUGGACAUCCUGAAGCCUUCUUGAAAAGAAUGGAACCUCUUUAAAUGAAAUUCUUUGUGAUCUUAUAAAUUGCUGAGUUAGGUGCAAUCUUAGUAGCCUCAAUAUCUUUGCCUGUGAAGCCAUUUUUCUGCAACGCAAUGAUGGCUGCAUGUGUUUCUUUGCAGGUCACCAUGGUUAACAAUGGAAGAACAAUGAUUUAGAGCAUCAACCUCCGUUUAACAUGUCAAGUCUGUCAUUCUAACCCAAUCAGCCUGACUUAAUGAUAUCCAGCCUUGUGCUUGUCAAAAUUGAACAAGACGAUUACUAAAAUGAUCUCAGCAGCUCUAAUGUCAGCAAUGAAGUGCAGUGGAAUAAUUUGAGAGAAUAAGUUCAUUUUCAUGGCAAAGGAGGACUAUGCAAUUCAUCUGAUCACUCUUCAUAGCAUUCUGGAGUAUAUGCAAAUUGCUAUUAUAAAAACUUAAGCAGCAACUUUUCCAGUGUUUAUGUAAUUAUCAAAACUUUUGAGCUCAAAUGUACACAAGAUAUUAUUCUUCAACACAUAUUUGAAACUGCAUUUCCUUUUUCAAAGGAAAACAUGCGGCAAAUUAGGAGAUGGUGGUGUCUUGUUCUGCUGCAACACUUCCCCAUGCCGUCUGAGGAAGACCGAGUGCAGGCACGAAAAAGACGGAGAGAGGAAAGAGUAAAACAGGUGAGAGACAACUUGAUUAAUUCUUGUAGUUUAACUGUUGCUUGCAGACUAAAGCAUAAUUCCUUCACUUAUUUCAGGGCCUGGAAGUGGUCCCUCCUAAGAAGUCCUGCCUUACUGAAUUAGUCUGUGCAGCAUCAGGUAUUGUUCAAACAAGUAUUAUUGUACACAACUGAUCUUUUUUACAACCUGCACUGUUAAUAUGCUUUUUAUGAACCACAAUCUUUUUCCUUUCUAGCAGAGGCUGAGAACUUGCCAGAGCUGGACACAGGGAACAGAGUACGUUAUAUAUUGUCGGCUUUUCUUGUCAUUGUUUCUUCUCCAACCUCUAUUUUAAUUAGAGGUGUCAAAUAAUUCCAUUACUUGCAAUUAAUUUUUACAGCCAUGAUUAACGUGUUAUAUAUUUUAAUUAUGUUCAUCAUUUUUAAUCUACUGCUUCUUUAUGGGACUUUUAAAUAAACCAAUUUCUUUUCUUUUACUCUCCUUGCUGGUGUUCUUGAAGGGUUGAUGUAAACUCAUAAGUUGAAUGGUUGACGUUACAGUGACAAGACCGGUGAGAGAUUAGCUGCAGCAGUGUUUAUUUCAGCGACCUUGUUAUCUUUACUCUGUUUUUUUCACCCUUCUUGCAACUUUUUCCAAAGUUAUUGUUACCAUUUGGAUGUAAUGGGUGUGUCACUGAGCAUCAAGGCUGCUGACAGCUUCUCUCCUGUAUCAGACGCACCUCCGUGCUGCAGUUUGGAAAGACCACAGCAUCAGCUGUUUGGCUAGCUGUUAGCAUUGAAAAUAAGGCUUAUAUUAUGUACAGUUAUUAGAUUAAAUUAAAAGAUUAGAUUACUUACAGAUCAUACAUAAUUAAUGUAAAAUAUGUUUUUAAUCUCUUGACAGCAGUAAUUUUAAUAUUGUCUUUAUUUUUGAUUAGGAGAAUUCUCUGCUUGAGGACACCUUUGAGGCAGCAAGAUGGUGUACCACAAGGUCCUUCAAAGGAAGCCUUUCCCUUCCCCAGGUCAUCACCAUGGACAGGGAAGCUUGCCGGAGGGCAGUGGAGAGGUUAUGCUUCUGUGAUGGCCUGGAUGAAGAGGAGAUGCACGAUUGCAGGGAACCGUUCCUGUUCAUGUUUACUUUUCAGUCUGACUAUGAGGAGUUCUGUAAAGAAAUUGAGGAAAAAAGGAAGAUGAAGGUGUUUUCUGGUUUUGAAAUGCCAUAGUACAGCGGUGUCACAGUUUUUGCAUUCUGUUUCCUCCUCACAUUGUUUUUUUUUGGAGGUUCUCUUGUUUUUUUGUGUGCUUUUUGGUUCAUUUGUUUGUAAUUUUUUUUAUUCCUGUGUUGGCUGUUGUUUGUUCUAUUAAAUUUACCUUUUUUGAAAAAUUUAGUCUGCAUUCUUGGGUGUCUCACACAAUGUCUCACCACCCCGCCUCAAACCCUGGCAUGUUUUAAGAAGUAUCAACACAAUUUAAGUCUCUGUUCCUCUUAAUGUAGCUGAUAUAAUGGAGUGUACAACAAAUUUACCCGUGUCUGUCUGUACUGUUUUACACUCACUUGGGAAAUGAUUAUUAAAAUAAAGGCAGCAUUGAUAAAAUCAACUAUUAAAAUGGUUUUGACAGGUUUAAAGAAUAGUCAAUCAAAUGCCUGAACCUGUUAUAUAGGUACCAAAAGUAUAGCUAAAAGACACAAAUACCUAUGUGCUAUAAAUACACAUACCAUACAAAAGUAGAAAAAAGAAUAAAAAUAUCAGAACAGAUUGGAUCAAAAAUGGCACCUGUAAUUAUCUGCUCUUUAAAAUUAUCUUGACAUCCAGCAAACAAGUCAUUUGAUUACCAAUGUUAUGCUUUACAUGGGUUUUGUGGGUUUUUAGGGCUUUCUAAACCUUAGAAAGGGGCUACUCGCGGUUUACCGGUUCCAUUGAGAGAGGGGCAGGAGUCAAAUAGUUGUCUCCACCCACCUCUAAACGUUUAACCACGCCCACAUUUAGCCCCGCCCCAAUCUCCGGGAUGCAGCCAGGGGUAGUUGGUCAGGCCGGGCAGCCUGACCGAUGCGGCGCCUAGCUGCUGCGGGCUGACCGCUCGUGGAGCUCUCGAACUCGGAGACAGAUCUGACCGGAGAAAUACUGCAGCUCGGUGAGAAGUCUAUAGGGCAUACAGCUUUUCCCUUAAAUCCCACCACCACGCCGACAAGAUCCCAAGUUUCUUUGUUUUUGUUGGCGCUGUUUACCGAAGAAGCAGCGGGAACACCAGCAAGUUUCAUCAGACUCGUAAAGUU